rnacentral:rRNA from 1 species
UACGGAGGGGGCUAGCGUUAUUCGGAAUCACUGGGCGUAAAGCGCGUGUAGGCUGUCUGGAAAGUCAGAGGUGAAAGCCCAAAGCUUAACUUUGGAACUGCCUUUGAAACUAUCAGACUAGAAUAUGGUAGAGGAUAGUGGAAUUCUUAGUGUAGAGGUGAAAUUCGUAGAUAUUAAGAGGAACACCAGUGGCGAAGGCGACUAUCUGGGCCAUUAUUGACGCUAAGACGCGAAAGCGUGGGGAGCAAACAGG